AACGAACGCUGGCGGCAUGCCUAACACAUGCAAGUCGAACGAAACCUUCGGGUCUAGUGGCGCACGGGUGCGUAACGCGUGGGAACCUGCCCUUAGGUUCGGAAUAACUCCCCGAAGGGGGUGCUAAUACCGGAUAAUGUCUUCGGACCAAAGAUUUAUCGCCUUUGGAUGGGCCCGCGUUGGAUUAGCUGGUUGGUAGGGUAAAAGCCUACCAAGGCGACGAUCCAUAGCUGGUCUGAGAGGAUGAUCAGCCACACUGGGACUGAGACACGGCCCAGACUCCUACGGGAGGCAGCAGUGGGGAAUAUUGGACAAGGGGCGAAAGCCUGAUCCAGCAACGCCGCGUGAGUGAUGAAGGCCUUAGGGUUGUAAAGCUCUUUUACCCGGGAUGAUAAUGACAGUACCGGGAGAAUAAGCUCCGGCUAACUCCGUG
rnacentral:rRNA from 1 species